GAGUUUGAUCGUGGCUCAGGACGAACGCUGGCGGCGUGCCUAAUACAUGCAAGUCGAGCGAGCUUGCCUAGAUGAUUUUAGUGCUUGCACUAAAUGAAACUAGAUACAAGCGAGCGGCGGACGGGUGAGUAACACGUGGGUAACCUGCCCAAGAGACUGGGAUAACACCUGGAAACAGAUGCUAAUACCGGAUAACAACACUAGACGCAUGUCUAGAGUUUGAAAGAUGGUUCUGCUAUCACUCUUGGAUGGACCUGCGGUGCAUUAACUAGUUGGUGGGGUAACGGCCUACCAAGGUGAUGAUACGUAGCCGAACUGAGAGGUUGAUCGGCCACAUUGGGACUGAGACACGGCCCAAACUCCUACGGGAGGCAGCAGUAGGGAAUCUUCCACAAUGGACGAAAGUCUGAUGGAGCAACGCCGCGUGAGUGAAGAAGGGUUUCGGCUCGUAAAGCUCUGUUGGUAGUGAAGAAAGAUAGAGGUAGUAACUGG
rnacentral:rRNA from 1 species